UACAGAGGUCUCAAGCGUUGUUCGGAAUCACUGGGCGUAAAGGGUGCGUAGGCCGCACGGUAAGUCAGAGGUGAAAUCCCGGAGCUCAACUCCGGAAAUGCCUCCGAUACUGCCGUGCUUGAGGACUGGAGAGGAGUCUGGAAUUCACAGUGGAGCAGUGAAAUGCGUAGAUAUUGUGAGGAACACUAGUGGCGAAGGCGAGACUCUGGACAGUUCCUGACGCUGAGGCGCGAAAGCCAGGGGAGCAAACGGG
rnacentral:rRNA from 1 species